CACUCCAAACUCAAACAAAGGUACUUUUGGAACUUUUACAGUAAAUUAUAAGAGAUUGAUUUAUCUUUAAUCAGUUGAUUUGAUUCAAUUCAUUUUAAUGAUAAGCUUAUGUGUUAAAUUUAACCACAUCAGCUUCAUUAUUAGUUUGAUUGAAAUUAGUCAAUAUUUGUUGAAUGCCCUAAUUGCUUACCUAACCAAAGUUAAAUUGUAUAUACUUGUAAUUAUCUGGCCGAAGUCAGGUAAUGACCAUCUAUUGUGAAUAACUUAAGAUAUUUUUCAAGA
rnacentral:lncRNA from 1 species